rnacentral:misc_RNA from 1 species
UCUCCGUUGGUGAACCAGCGGAGGGAUCAUUGCUGGAACUGUGUCCGCAAGGACACAACCCCAGAUACCCUUUGUGAACUUAUUCUUAUAUCGUUGCCUCGGCGCUGAGCUGGGGGCUUCUUUCCAAGGAGCUCUCCCAUGGUCUCUCGGGACGAUGGAGCAAGCCCGCCGGCGGCCCUUCUAAACUCUUGUUUUUAUUACGUAUCUCUUCUGAGUUAUUCAAAACAAAAUGAAUCAAAACUUUCAACAACGGAUCUCUUGGUUCUGGCAUCGAUGAAGAACGCAGC